rnacentral:lncRNA from 1 species
AAACGAAGAUGUCUUUUAAUACAAAGAACACCGUGGAAGGUACAGCAGAUACAGAACUGAUUAUAAAGUUUCCGUAAUGAAGUCAGGCGCUUUGUGUAACGGUGGACGCAAAGACCAAAGAAACCAAAUUUGUUCAGAGACAGACUCGCACAGGAACACUUGAUUUAGGACAAGGGUGGCAGCGUGCAGACCGGUGGAAGGAUUUUUUUUUCCCCAAUAAAUGGUAUAAUCAGCGGUUGCUGGAUGCUUCGGAAUGCAUCGCAAUCAUAAAUACCCCCAAACGUCAAUACCCGGACCGGCAGCAGAACAGCCUGAGAAUCUAGAGCGCUUUCUCUGGGUAAUUAUCCCCGCCCUCCAAGAAAAGCUGCCGCUCGGCCGUCUUCUUGGUUUCAUCAAAGAAGGCAAGUAGGGGUCAAUCAAAGCUUACCUGGUGAGAACUGGACACCUUCUUCCUCUUCUGGUUCUGUAGCUUAACACCUGUGUAUUGGCUGAUACCACAAAGCUGGGUUUUUAAAUUAAUAUUGGGUCACACGUCAACUCUCUUUUUUUUUUUCAGCGAUUUAAAAAUGUGUAACCAUUCAUAGCUCAUGGGCCAUGCAAAACCAGAAGGCAAAGGCUGCAUCCUGCCCACAGGUGUUAGUUUGCCAAGCCCUGGGUUAAAAUACGAACAUUUGUUCACACCGAUCCAUAGCCUAAGUGCCCUCAGAAUGGGGGCUGUUGUGAGGGUGGAGACUAGUGCAGAAAAUUGCACAAGACAGAACACCCUUAGAAUGUACCCUUUUUAAAGCAGGACUUCACCCUGCUUUGUCACUCCUUAUACCUGCCUUGCAACAAAUAAACUAAAUUAUUAAACCAAAGGGGAAAAUAUUUUGGCACUUGUGUCUUGGAAUGGACAUUUCUUCGUGAAUUUGCUAUAGUUUAACGAACAGUUUUUAGCUAGAAUGUAAUUAUUGUACUCGUGAUGGGGUGUGUAUCUCCUGGGUAUUUUGUUAUAUAUACUCUUGGCUAUUGCCCCUCCUAAAUUACUAUAUUUAUAAAUUAAAAUUCGAACUGUAGGUCCGUCUUUAUUUAAUAGCUGUGUGGGAAAGUAAUAGUUAAAUAAUUGCUUCUUGAAAAAAAAAAAUCUUGUUACUGAACCGAAAAAGUCUGUGGCCGGAAGGCCAAUAUAAAUGGAAUCCAAGAAGAUUCUCUCAACGAGCUGCCGAGAUUGAUGUUUUAAAAGACGACAAUACCUUCAGCCUCUCAUGGGAAUUACAACCAGGAAUCCCUGACACUACAGGGUACCUAAUACUGUUUUGUUAGGACUGUAAUCCUGCCUAGUGAAAACGUGGCUUUCUGCCUAGUGAAAGCGUCAUGGGCUCAGGACAUGCUGAUACAUAACUAUUUUCAAGAAUCUAGUAUCUGAACAACAAAUUGUUUCCGUCUAGUCUAAAAAGUUAGUUACUCUUAUUUAUUCUUUCUGUCCUUUAUUUUUAAGAAAGCCUGCAUUAAGCAAAACUUCCCCUCCCCUCUGUCCCACCUUGAUACCAAAAAUCGUCAUUCAGUUCAAAAUACUUACUCGGUUCAAAGUAUCUGAAACCAUCAGUUAAUUGGAGACGUUACACAAAGAGCCAACAUUUUUUUCAUUCCAUCAUUUCAACUUUUCUAGUAAUUGCUUUUUUAAAUUGAUUUUUCUUGUGAAAAUGUAAUACAAAAUUUUAAAAAGAUAGGCCUGUGACUAUGGGAGGUCCCUGGUGGCCUAGCAGUUAAGGAUCCAGCACUGUGGCUGCUGUGGUGCGGGUUCAAUCCCUGGCCCAGGUAUUUCCGCAUGCUAUAGGCUUGGUCAAAAAAAAAUAAACCAAAAAAACAGUAUAUUACUAUCUAAUAAACUCAUCAAAUUAUUAGUUAUGUUUUGGCUUGUUAACUACCUUAAAAAAUAAAUACAUAUCUGUGUCUUAUUGAAAAGAAAUGAAACUGGUGAAAAUAGGCAGGGAAAUUCAUCUGUGUGCAGUCUUGGGAUUAUUCUACAAAUCACAGAGAAAUAAAAAUAAAGUCUGCUUCUCUGAGUUACUUUAGGUUUCAUGCGUUUUCUGUGCCAAGAAGAGAAAGCCAUGUCACCAGGAAGCUUCCGCAGUUGGGGACACUGCACCUGCGUUGCUGUGGCACUCUGGUUCAUUACCUUUCACUUGCAGAGGCAUCACGGCGAUCAUUUAGACGAGAAAACCGAUUUCAGAAAGGUAGUUGGCCUUCAUGGCCAACGGCAAUUUGACAUUCAAAGUGGGGUCUGUGUGGCCCUGAGUUCAUGGUCACCGCCACGCAGGGGAUGACUGCGGACAGACGCACAGCCAGACUGCAGGGGGCCCGGUGCAAGGACUGCAGGGACCAUCAGUGGGGACCUGGGCCUGGAAGUCGAUGGACCUGAAGACUGGCCGAGUUUCGGCCUGGAGAUUAGCAGCUCCAAGUUUCAGGGACCAGUGACCCCGCAGGAUCGGCCGAGGCUGAGACUGGGCUGCUUGACUUGGUGGUGCCUUCACACCUGCCUGGACUUCCAGUCACCGCAGAGGGACAAUGGGCUGGACGGUCACUCACUGCUGCGGUAGCUCAGAUUUGACUCUGGGAACUUCUGUAUGCUGCUGGUAUGGCCCUAAAAAGAAAGAGAAAAAAAAAAAAAAUGAACCGUGCUCAGAAGGCUAGGGUUGUAUUAGGGUGAAAUAGGUAUGAUCGGGGAGUGUGCUGGGAAGGUGGGGAGAGCUGAACUGGGGAGAGGACGCAGCCAAGAACCCGGUAGGAGGCUGUCCUAGUAGGGAGAGCUGCUGGGACUGGGGGGCCAGAACGACAUGGGAAACGCAAAAGCAGCAGGAGUCAGGGACGAUCUAAGACCAGAGCGACACCCCCCUUGGUCAGGCCUUCCGAGGAGGCGCCUGAUGGGGCGGGGAGGGCGGGGCAGGGGGACUGGCAGGGAAACAGCGGGAAGGGUGGCUUAGCACAUGGGAGGGGAAGAUGAGCACCUGCUCCCCCGCGUCUAGGACACAGAGUUUAAACAUUUACAGCGUAUAAUGCACCAAACUCAUGACAGACUCUGGCAAUGAAAGCAAUUAUAACAACACGUUGCCAAACCAAGAACCAGCACGUGGAUAUUUCUAUGGCCUGAAACCCUCCCAGGCUUAGAGGCUAUGGCAGGGUUCUGAGCAAUGGGGGUUCCAAUGUCAUCUUUUACUAAUUCGAAGUAUGCAGAAGAAGUUAAAGUUGAAUGAUUGUUCUUUUCCCCACAUACAUAGCAGGUAUGAAUGUUUGCGUAUUGAAACAGCUUUUCUGGAGUUUCCUUUUUCUCCUGUACCUAUGUAACCCCUGCAGUGCUGGUGUUCGGGUGCAAAGGACGAAGACCUGUGUACCCCCAGGACACUCGCAGAGUGCAUUCCCCCCCGGCCCCCCACACUUUAAACUGGACCUUGUCGAGAGCUCCGUAAGGUAGGGAGUCGAGGUAAUUGCCACCAAGAAGUUUAUUUGUCACUGGAGGGAACUGGGUCUCAGAGAACUACGAGGGCCCCGUUCACCGUCCUGCAACGCAGUAAGGGCUGGAUCUCACACUUGGGAAUUGGCCUCUUUCCCUGAGCUGCUUUCCUGUCCUGCCACCUCUGCGCCCAGACCCAAGACUGAUUUCCCCACGCGUUCAGUGAGACAAGGGAACCAGUUUCACUUCGGAGAAGGAAGAGGCGUGACUUCAGACGUGUGACGCUGGAAGUCAGUCUCAAGGUCGGAAAGGACUUACGCCAGUGAUGGUCAGACCUGACCCCCAGAAUCACUGGGGGAGACUCCUGGGCUCACCCUGGUUCUGUUCCGGUGUCUGGGGUUGGGUUGAGGAAACUCGUACGUUUAAAAAGUCCUCUGAAACAGGAGCCCUGAGCUGCAGAGCAUGACUUGAAGGACUUUUUGUUCAAGGGGAUCACGGUGUUAGGAAAACCCGUGUUUCCAAGAGUCCUUAUCUUCUGAAGAAACGCCGACGAAACAGUAUCACGUCUGACUUUUGUUUUAAAAUAAUCCAGGGCUGAGGGCGGAGGCUAGAGGGUACGUGAAGCAGGCUCCUGGGAACUUGGAGUGGGUGGUGCGAGGAGGGGGCUUCUUCUGCCUGUGCCUACCAUCGAAAUGGUUCUAAAAGAAGGAAGUUGCACAAAGAAAAAGCUCCCCAGGAAAUUCCGAUGACCGCAGACUUUGGGAAUCAUGGAUCUAUUCCACCCCGAAGCUCUCAUCACCCGGGUUCCCUGUGAGGUGUUUCUUCCCUGCAUCGCAGCGGCGUUGCGGAAGGGUACUCUCAUGGAUGCGCCGAAACGAGGAAAGUUUGAUAGAAAUAGGGCACUUAGGCGCUCCUGCUGUGGCACAGCGGGUUAAGGAUCCACUGUUGUCGAAGCUGUGGCUUGGGUCGUAGCUGCAGCUUGGAUUCGGUCCCUGGGCCGGGGAAUUUCCAUGUGGCUUGGGUGUGGCCCCCCCUCCAAAAAAUAUAUGGCAUUUAGAGUAUAAAGACAGGCGGGAAAGGGAUGGACUGGAAGUGUGGGAUUAGCACAUGCAAACGAUUCUAUACAGGAGGGUAAACAAGGUCCUGCUGCCGAGCCCAGGGAACUACAGCCCGUGCCCUGGGCUUAUUCUGGGCUUCCCGCGGAUAAGACGCCUCUUCGCAGUUGCUUCUCUGGUUUCUCUUAUGUUUAGUGCUGGUAAAGCAUUCAAUAGUACAUGUUCCCUUCAGUUGGUGUGCUUGCAUUUGCUUAAAUACCAUUUAAUGGGAGUUUGCCUUCAAAAAUGUAAUGCACUUUC